GACGAACGCUGGCGGCGUGCCUAAUACAUGCAAGUCGAACGCUGAAGAGAGGAGCUUGCUCUUCUUGGAUGAGUUGCGAACGGGUGAGUAACGCGUAGGUAACCUGCUUUGUAGCGGGGGAUAACUAUUGGAAACGAUAGCUAAUACCGCAUAACAAUGGAUGACACAUGUCGUUUAUUUGAAAGGGGCCAUUGCUCCACUACAAGAUGGAUCUGCGUUGUAUUAGGUAGUAGGUGAGGUAACGGCUCACCUAGGCGACGAUACAUAGUCGACCUGAGAGGGUGGUCGGCCAAACUUGGAAUGGGACAAGGCCCAGGAUCCUUCGGGAGGGAGCAGUAGGGAAACUUCGGCCAUUGGGGCAACCCUGGACGAGCAACGCCGGGGUAGGGAAGAAGGGUGUCGGAUCGGAAAGGUCUGUUGUAAGUCAAAAACGAGUGGGAGAGUGGAAAGUUCACGCUGUGACGGUAGCUUAACAGAAAGAAACGGCUAACUACGUG
rnacentral:rRNA from 1 species